rnacentral:rRNA from 1 species
AAUCGUCGACCUGCAGGCAUGCAAGCUUGGCGUAAUCAUGGUCAUAGCUGUUUCCUGUGUGAAAUUGUUAUCCGCUCACAAUUCCACACAACAUACGAGCCGGAAGCAUAAAGUGUAAAGCCUGGGGUGCCUAAUGAGUGAGCUAACUCACAUUAAU